AAAAAAUGUAUAAAUAUUUAUAUUUUAAUGAAAAUUUUUUUCAUUAUUAUUGCAAUUAAAAAAAUUUAUGUCAUCAAUGCAUCGUUAGGAAUUUGUACUUACUUUCUUUAGUUUUAGGUUCCAUAAUACUCAGAGCUCCUUCAGGUGGUGAUUGGUUGCAAUUGAUUUCAGAUGAUGGUUUGUUCACUGAAAAAUCAAAUAAAAUAAAAUCAAAAGAAUGUGAUGAAGUUUUCAAAUUGAAGCAGUAAAAGGCUUACCUGAGACACCGAGUGUUGGAACAGAAUGUAUUAGAAGCCCUCUUUUUGAUGACACUUUAUAAUGGUCUUCAAAGUGUGCAUCACAUACAUAGUAUCUUCGAUGAAUUACCUCAGCAGGAACACAUCAUUGUGAAGUACAAAUCUCUGACGAAGAACGAGGUAAACUACGUUCGCCAAGUUCAUCACAAAAAAUCCCAUAAAGUAAACAAAAAAUCAGCGAUGUGAGAAGUCUCACAAGCCGUCGUCAGGAGAACUAAAUUACUAUUCCAGAUUUUAGUUGGUACCUCAGAUUCCUAUACUUGACUUGUGUCUCGCAGGCAUAAGCACUAUCAGCAGAUACAUAAAAUAAAACAUCUUGAUUUAUUAGCCGCAAAACCAGCAUUUUCGUGUUCCUGUAAGAAUGAGAAGUAGUAUGUUACUUUGUUCAAGUUCAUUUUAAAAGAUAUAAGAAACAUUUGUUGUCCAACAUUUGUUUUUUUGUUAUCUAUGAAAAAUGCACCUGUAGAAUUCUCCAUUUCAAAAUUCUUAGCAAUACUAAACUUCCCUCAAAAUAAUUUGUAAUGGACCAUUUUGAAAAUUUAGAUGACAGGAUAAAAACUUAUACAAAGCCACACUUCUGUUCUGAAUGUAACCAAAUAAUUGACUUUGAAAAACUUUUAUAGAGAAAGGAUUGAUUUUUAAUGGUAUCGAAUUCCUGUAGUUCAAAUACUCACCAAUUUCAUUUCCAACCUUUGAAUACAGUUUUCGCAAAAAAGCAAACAGAACAAAACUAAAACUUAGAUGUAUUUCUUGUUCCAUUAGGAGAAAUGUAAAGAUUCUCCCCUUCUGUUAUAUUGUACCAGAUAGUAAUUUUCAAUAAUUUAUGUAAAAUAAAAUUGUUGCGUAAGAAUCCUGAAAUAAUGAAUUGGUAGUAUCAAGUGAUCAAAGUAAUGAAUGAUUUUAGAAAUCAGCAUUACAGUUCAGAUAAUACAAUAAAAAAUUAUUAAACUUUGAGGUAAUGUUGAACGUGUAAUUAGAACAAUUAACAUAUGGAUAGCAAUAUUGUAUUGUAUGUAUGUAAUUAUUUGUGCAAAUCUACCAAUUUUGUGUCACUUUAGGAAAGUCUGAGAUACAAAACAGGCAUUUCGCCUAUAGUAUUCACUAUUCUUCUCUUGAUUGCUUCAAUUACAUUUAAGAGUUGUGAACAAAUUGUACUUCAAGAUGUUUGAAUAAAUUUUGAUUUGAUUUGAA